CCCGCUGAACUUAAGCAUAUCAUUAAGCGGAGGAAGAGAAACCAACAGGGAUUCCCUUAGUAGCGGCGAGCGAACCGGGAAAAGCUCAAGCUCUAAAUCUGAACGGCCAAGUGCUGUUCCGAAUUGUAGUCUCGACAGGUAGACAUUGUUGGUGUCCCCCUCUGGAUCUAGAUCCCUUGGAACAGGGUGCCGUGGAGGGUGAGAGCCCCGUGCGACGGUCCAGAGCCAAAGGCGUAAAUGGGGAUGCCGGUCAAGCAUUGUUUGCUUUCGGAGUCGGACUGCUCGGGAAUGCAGUCCCAACUGGGUGGUGGACCCCACCUAAAGCUCGAACACUGACAGGAGACCGAUAGCGGACAAGUACCGCGAGGGAAAGAUGAAAAGGACCCCGGGAGGGGAGUCAAAAGUGCCUGAAAUCGUUGAGAGGGAAGCGCUCAGGGACGAGGUAUUAUUUUGUUAUUUCCAGUAAUGAAUAUAAGCAAAAACCCUUGGCAGUUGUCCGAUGAAGAGGAAAUUCUAAUUCAAGACUUCUUUCUUGUUGUUCGGAGGACUAGGAGUGUUGAAGACGGAGGGAGGGGCUUGCUCUUCCCUUUUAUUCUUCGAUGCCUUAUGGAUCUUUACAAUCAAAAAGAAAGAGUCCUUUAUCUAUCCAACUGUAUGAGGUGAGUCGACAUCAGCUCUAUAUCCGAUGAUGGAAGAACAUGCGAUUAUCUAACUGAAGUGCAAUUAGAGGUAACUCUUAUUGUACGGUUGUGUGUUUGUUGUCGUCGGUGGGGCUGAGGAAUCCGCGCAGAAUGCAUGCUUUUGGGAAACCGAGGGCAGAGGGACACCAUUUCGGGGUGUCUGAUCGAGAAGGGACCGGGAACCGGUGCCUUUUUGCUCAUAGAUAUCGCUUGAAUGGAUUGUUUUCUAACCUCUAGUGCAGUUAGCGAUGUCGGCCGAGCGGCCCUGAGUGACCCGUCUUGAAACACGG
rnacentral:rRNA from 1 species